rnacentral:misc_RNA from 1 species
GCUGACACAUGUUUUGCAUUUUUAUCUUUUCUGCCAUGCAUAUUGGCAGAAGACUCUCUCUCUCUCUCUUCAAUCCUCCUAAACUUUUUGAGCAUAGAUGCAGUUAGGAAUAAUUUCUUGUGCUUCAGGCAUGAGCAAAGUGAUUUUCCAUGGUCCUGAAAUACUUCACCAUCUGAAGCUGUGGAAGCAUACCUGUCUAAGGCUCAGCUGGUGAAUAAAGAUAAUUAAGUACGAUUUUGCUCUUCUCCUCAGGUUUUUCAGGGUUAGGCACCCGAAGCAUGCUGUAUAUUAAAGCUGCGGCCAAAGCUCCAAGGAUAGGGGACACGAUAAAGACCCAAAGAUUCUUGUAAACACCUGAGACAAUUGCAGGGCCUAAGCUUCUUGCAGGGUUCAUUGAAGCUCCAGUGAUCGGUCUGCAGAAUUUGAGGAAUAAAGGAAUCCAAGCUUAAGAAUAUUUACAAGUGGUGGUAAGUAAUGAUGAAGUGCUGGAAUAGAGCACAGUUUAAAGCAGUGAUUAGUGAGGGAGUGAGUUUAUU